UGUGGACGGUUAGGACAGACAGAUGCGGUCGGUGUGAGUUGUGCAACGGUGGUUACAUCGUGUACCUCAGUUAUGGUUUUAAAAACCCAAAAGGAAAGUGCCAUCGAGAAUGAGCGACAGUUAGCAAACUAUAUUAAUCGGAUAUCCCUUGUGUGCCAGGCUACAACCUGCAAACAGGGACUUUAUUUUAUCUAUUCUUUUUGGGAUCCUUUUGAAGGCAUUGGCUGAUUAUAUGGAUUGAAGUAAUGUACUGUGCAAGGAUUUGGAGUGGUAGGACAGGAAACUGGCAGUAAGUAAUGACGGAACAAAAACAGAAGUUGCUGGAAAAGCUCAACAGGUCUGGCAGCAUCUGUGAAGAAAAAAAAAUCAGAGCUAACGUUUCGGGUCCAGUGACCCUUCCUCAGAAUAACGCUCGUUCAGGCACGAUGGGUCGAAUGGCCUCUCGCGCCCAUCCUUGUGAAAGUGGUGAAGACUGAGAAACUAUCCAUAGGCACUUGAAAUGGAGGGAUGGAAGACAAGGUGAAAGUUAAAACAGUCGUCAUCACCAGAAAAAAGUGCUGAGAAAAAUACAAAAUCUAAAAAGUGACAGGUCCCUGGGACUUAACUUCCCUUUAAACUUUCCUGCCUGUACAUGGACCUUGGAGGACACUGCAUGGCUGCAAUUUCUGGAAUCAGAUGUCAAUGCAUCCCCAUGCCAGUUGAUAUGUGCAAAACUUCAAAUGACUGGCAGAUGCAGUGCUUGGAAGAAACAUUGCCCAGGACAUGAUGGCAUGCAUCCUUGGGUUUUUUAACAAAGUGGCUGCAAAGAUAAUAGAGGCAUUAGUUAUCAUCUUUAACAUUCCUUUGGUUCUUGAGGGAUGCCAAUGGAUUGGAAAAUAGCUCAUGUAACACCAUGAAGAAGAAAAUCAAAAAUAAAGAACUAUAUUAAAAACAGUAA